AGUUUGAUCAUGGCUCAGAUUGAACGCUGGCGGCAUGCCUUACACAUGCAAGUCGAACGGUAACAGGUCUUCGGAUGCUGACGAGUGGCGAACGGGUGAGUAAUAUAUCGGAACGUGCCCAGUCGUGGGGGAUAACGCAGCGAAAGCUGUGCUAAUACCGCAUACGAUCUACGGAUGAAAGCGGGGGAUCGCAAGACCUCGCGCGAUUGGAGCGGCCGAUAUCAGAUUAGGUAGUUGGUGGGGUAAAAGCCUACCAAGCCGAUGAUCUGUAGCUGGUCUGAGAGGACGACCAGCCACACUGGAACUGAGACACGGUCCAGACUCCUACGGGAGGCAGCAGUGGGGAAUUUUGGACAAUGGGCGCAAGCCUGAUCCAGCAAUGCCGCGUGCAGGAUGAAGGCCUUCGGGUUGUAAACUGCUUUUGUACGGAACGAAAAGGUCUGCCCUAAUACGGUGGGUCCAUGACGGUACCGUAAGAAUAAGCACCGGCUAACUACGUGCCAGCAGCCGCGGUAAUACGUAGGGUGCGAGCGUUAAUCGGAAUUACUGGGCGUAAAGCGUGCGCAGGCGGUUAUGUAAGUCAGAUGUGAAAUCCCCGGGCUCAACCUGGGACCUGCAUUUGAGACUGCAUAGCUAGAGUACGGUAGA
rnacentral:rRNA from 1 species